rnacentral:rRNA from 1 species
UUCGUUCUGGCUCAGGUUGAACGCUGGCGGGAUGCUUACACGCUGAGUCGACGCUUCCGGCGGACUUCCGAUCUGGUGGCGGUGGCGAACUGGUUGAUAAUGCUCAUCGGAACGUGCCUGACGAGGAUAACUGCGGCGUGGCUAAUACCACAUACGCUUGCUGGAAAGCGGGGGACCUUCGGGCCUCGCACUAUUAGAGCGGCCAAAUGUCGGAUUAUUUAGCGAUUGGUGCAGGGUAACGGCUCCGCAGGCGACGUCCGUAGCUGGUUUGAGAGGACGACCAGCCACACACUGGGACUGAGACGGCCCGAACUCCUACAGGAAGGCCAACGAUGCCUGAUUUUGGACAAUGGAAACCUGAUCCAGCCAUCCCGCGUGUGCGAUAGAGAACCUUCAGUUUGUAAAGCACUUUUGGCAGGAAAAAACGGCACGGAUAAUACCCCGUGCAACUGACAGUACCUACAGAAUAAGCACCGGCUAACUACGUGCCAGCAGCCGCGGUAAUACGUAGAUUUUCAGCGUUAAUCAGGUCUGGGCGUAAAGCGUGCGCAGGCGGUUCAGAAGAAAAUCGAAAUCCCAGAGCUUAACUUUGGAACUGCAUUUUUAACUACCGAGCUGAAGAAUUGUGUCAGAGGGAGGUGGAAUUCCGCGAUGUCAGCAGUGAAAUGCGUAGAUAUGCGGAGGAACACCAGUGAUGGCGAAAGCGGCAAUCCUGGAUAACACUGACGCUCAUGCACGAAAGCGUGGGAGCAAGCAGGAUUAGAAUACCCUGGUAGUCCACGCCCUAAACGAUGUCAACUAGCUGUUGGGGCCUUCGGGCCUUGGUAGCGCAGCUAACGCGUGAAGUUGACCGCACCAAAGUACGGUCGCAAGGUUAAACUCGAAGGAAUUGACGGGGUUACACAAGCGGUGGAUGAUGUGGAUUAGUUGGUACAACGCGAAACCUUACCCUACCCUUGACAUGUCUGAUCCAGAGAUUUGAGUAUAUAAGAGAACCGGAACACAGGUGCUGCAUGGCUGUCGAUGGCUCAAAUGUGUGAGAUGUUGGGUUAAGUCCCGCAACAGGCGCAACCCUUAUCAUUAGUUGCACCGAAAGGGCAUCUAAUGGGCUUCGCCGAUGACUCAAACCGGGAAAGGUGAGGACGGCGUCAAAUCCUCCUUAGCCUUCAUAUGGGUAGGGCUUCACGUCAUGGUGGGACAGAGGGUCGCCAACCCGCAGGGAAUUAAUCCAGAAACCCGAUCGUAGUCCGGAUCGCAGUCUGCAACUCGAGCUGCGUGAGUCGGAAUCGCUGUCAAUGCUGGAUCGGCAUGUCGCGGUGAAUACGUUCCCGGGUCUUGUACACACCGCCCGUCACACCAUGGGGAGUGGGUUUUACCAAGUAGUUAGCCUAACUUCAUGGGCGAUUACCACGGUAGGAUUCAUGACUGGGGUAAAGUCGCUAUGGU